UACAGAGACUGCAAGCGUUAUUCGGAUUCACUGGGCGUAAAGGGUGUGCAGGCGGCCGUGUGUGUGAGGCGUGAAAGCCCGGGGCUUAACCCCGGAAUUGCACCUCAAACUACACGGCUAGAGCAUUGGAGAGGGUAGCAGAAUUCACGGUGUAGCAGUGAAAUGCGUAGAUAUCGUGAGGAAUACCAGAGGCGAAGGCGGCUAUCUGGACAAUUGCUGACGCUCAGGCACGAAAGCGUGGGGAGCAAAAGGG
rnacentral:rRNA from 1 species